AAGUACUCGUGCAUGACCGAUAGCGAACUAGUACCGUGAGGGAAAGGUGAAAAGCACCCCGACAAGGGGAGUGAAAGAGUACCUGAAACCGAUUGCCUACAAACAGUGGGAGCCCGCAAGGGUCACCACGUACCUUUUGUAUAAUGGGUCAGCGACUUAGUGUGACGAGCAAGCUUAAACCGAUAGGUGUAGGCGCAGCGAAAGCGAGUCUGAACAGGGCGUUCAGUUCGUCGCAUUAGACCCGAAACCGAGUGAUCUAGCCAUGAGCAGGUUGAAGGUAAGGUAACACUUACUGGAGGACCGAACCCAUAACUGUUGCAAUAGUUCGGGAUGACUUGUGGCUAGGGGUGAAAGGCCAAUCAAACUCGGAAAUAGCUGGUUCUCCGCGAAAUCUAUUUAGGUAGAGCGUCGACCGAAUACCCCAGGGGGUAGAGCACUGGAUGGGCUAGGGGUCCUCACCGGAUUACCAAACCUAACCAAACUCCGAAUACCUGGGAGUAAUAGUCGGCAGACACACGGCGGGUGCUAACGUCCGUCGUGAAAAGGGAAACAACCCUGACCUACAGCUAAGGUCCCCAAGUUAUGGCUAAGUGGGAAAGGAUGUGAGGAUCCCAAAACAACCAGGAUGUUGGCUUAGAAGCAGCCAUCAUUUAAAGAAAGCGUAACAGCUCACUGGUCUAAAU
rnacentral:rRNA from 1 species